GUUUCCCGAGUGGGCGUGUCCUCCCCAGGCCCCACCGCACGAGGGCGGAGCUUUUGGCCACCCUGGAAUUGGGGGCAGAGCCUGAGGUGCUGAGCUCGAUGCGACGCCUGUGCAGGAGCAGGGAGGGGGGAGGAGUUCCUGGAGCCCCGCCCACCAAGCAGGGAUCCACAAGAGCUCCGCAACGAUUGGCUGGAAAAGGCGGAGGCUGAGCUGGGCCGGCACCACCCCGAGGAGGUUCUGUGGGCAUUGGAGGUUCUGGCCAAUGAGAGCGAGAGGUGGGCGUGGCCUUCCCUGGGGGCG